rnacentral:rRNA from 1 species
UACGUAGGGGGCAAGCGUUGUCCGGAUUUAUUGGGCGUAAAGAGCGUGUAGGCGGCUAGGUAGGUCCGUUGUGAAAACUCGAGGCUCAACCUCGAGACGUCGAUGGAAACCAUCUAGCUAGAGUCCGGAAGAGGAGGGUGGAAUUCCUGGUGUAGCGGUGAAAUGCGCAGAUAUCAGGAGGAACACCGAUGGCGAAGGCAGCUCGCUGGGACGGUACUGACGCUGAGGCGCGAAAGCGUGGGGAGCAAACAGG